GGCACUCAACAGAGGGAAAGUGGUUUUCUGAGACGUAGGGUGAUAAAAUCUGAAGUGCUCUCUCGUUAGCAUUAAGUUCUCAUACCCAUUCUGAGACAGAAAAACAUAAAGAUAGUGCCUCUGAAUACUGGGCACACAUUAGAAUCAUCUGGAAAAGCUUUUAAAAAAUACUGGUGCCUGGUCCCACUCCAGGUGGUAGAGAACCGUGGGGGUAGGUCUCCCGCAUCAAUGUAUUCUUGAAAGCCCUCCAAGUAAUUAUGGUGUGCAGCCAAGAAACAUGACUGUAGCCUCUCAGGCUCUGAUUUUAUGUAAGUUUAAUUACUUAUGGAUACUCUUUUUGUUUCUAGAAGCUUCUGCUGGAGAAUCGUGGUUCCAUGGGUGCCACUUCACCGUGGCUUCUCACUUCCUUCCAGUGCGGAGGCGUUAAGGUGACAGCUGCAAGGACAAGUGCUGUCCUGGGUACUGAGGGCACCAAAAUAUUCAGACCUGCUUCUAAGGAGUCUGGUUCAUGGAAGGGUCAGAAUAACAAAUCCACAUUUGUACUGCCCCAGACCAGCUCUCUUCUAAGGGCGCUGUGACUUUCCAGCAGGCAUGAAGAGAAGAGUGAGCCGUGGAAAGAGUGCAGCUCUGCCGUUAUCUCAUCUGUAACUGGGGUCCUUUUGUCCCCUGGUCUCCUGUUCCUUGUAUGUAACAUGUGGGAUUGAAAGAUGUGAGUCUAAGGUUCCUUUCACCUGAAGAGUUUUCUUAAGUUCUACUUUGGAAAGUUGCAAUCAAGGACUGUUCCUGCAACUUAUUUGAUUUAUAAUCUGUCUUUGGUUAAGUAAAUUCCUAUUUUACAUUUUGUUUAUUUCUUGAAUGAAGUAUUUAGUAAUGCUCAUGGCAAAUCUAGUGAAGUCAAGGGCAGAAAGAUUAAGCAUUAGUUGGGAAGGCGAAAUGGAAGCCCUUCACGACCCUCGUUCAUGAUUCAAUAGGCUCUGCAUUUCUAUGGAGUUGGGGAUCUUGGGCACAAACGCUGUUAUGGGGUCAGGAUCCCACCAUGACCUUGUAGCUUAUUUCUUCCUCACCCCAUUCCAUUUCCCCACAGAGUCCCAUCUCUUGUACAACGGAUAAACCACGACUCCAUCCCAAAGGGGAGCUAAUGAUUAACUGUGGGAAUAUUAAGUGUUAUGGCAAAUGGGUAAGGGAAAUAAUCUGUGACCAGAAAAUAUGGGUCACUGGUCCUAUUCUGUCCAACUGUGGUGGUUAUUGGGUGGACUGUACUUAAAUCUGUCACGGUCUCUGAACUGAUAAUAUGUGUGAAAUUCUGCUCCUGAAGGAAACCAGCAUUCUGAACUCAUUGUUCUCAGCCUGCCCUUUCUUUUUGCCAACAGGACAAAGCUUCCUUUGGUUUUUCCAUGACUUUUAUUGCCUAGCGCUAUUGUGGUAAGAAACCACGAGCUCUGCAGAGGGAGAUAACUGAGUUUGAAUUCUACUGCUGCUCUUUUGCUAUCAGGAUUGCAUUGGGUACAAGCCAAUUAACUUCUCUGAGUCUUAAUACUCUUAUGUCUAAAAUGAGACUGUUAAUGCAACCUUUUAAAUUUCUUGUGAAGAUUAAUUAAAAUAAUAGGCCUGACAUUAUUAGUAGCUAUUUAUUGACACAUAGCUGUUUAUUUAUAUAUGUAUGAACGAAUAUGCUUAUUUGUAUAUCCUAAAAUACGUAACAUGCCAAUUUUUUAAAUGUUUUAACUUUCUAUGGGUGUUCUCACUCAUAAGUGGAAGUUGGACAAUAAGAACACAUGGACACAGGAAGGGGAAGAUCACACACUGGCCUGUUGGGGGUUGGGGGCCA